UUGCUUUGGCAGCACAUAUUCUAAAAUUGGAAUGAUACAGAGAAUAUUAUCAUGGUCCCUGCCCAUGGAUGUCACACAAAUGCAUGAAACAUCCUCUGUGUGU
ensembl:snRNA U6 U6 spliceosomal RNA